rnacentral:lncRNA from 1 species
GAGAGGGUUAUUACCACAAGAAAGUAGCCUACUCGUCUGUAGUGGCCUUCUCGGCCUUGAGGAGCUACUGCUCGAAGACACUGUAAGAUUGCUAGAUAAAGAAUUUGAAGAAAAUAUUGCGUCUUAUUGCAUGAUUCAUCAGAUACUAUUGUUGGUGACAAAAUUGGUUAUGAUGUAAGAAACAUCGAGGAUGUAAUUGGCGACAUAUUAA